rnacentral:rRNA from 1 species
GACAGAGGUGCCGAGCGUUAGGCGGAAUCACUGGGCUUAAAGCGUGUGUAGGCGGGCGGGCAAGUACCUUGUGAAAUCCCACGGCUCAACCGUGGAACGGCUGGGUAUACUGCCUGUCUUGAGCCAGCUAGGGGCGAGCGGAACAGGCGGUGGAGCGGUGAAAUGCGUAGAUAUCGUCUGGAACGCCGAAGGUGAAAACAGCUCGCUGGGGCUGUGCUGACGCUGAGACACGAAAGCCAGGGGAGCGAACGGG